CGGAGGAUCCGAGCGUUAUCCGGAUUUAUUGGGUUUAAAGGGUGCGUAGGCGGGAUAGUAAGUCAGUGGUGAAAGCCCGCAGCUCAACUGCGGAACUGCCAUUGAUACUGCUAACCUUGAGUAUGUAUGAUGUGGGCGGAAUGAGCAGUGUAGCGGUGAAAUGCUUAGAUAUUGCACAGAACACCGAUUGCGAAGGCAGCUCACAAAACCAUAACUGACGCUGAGGCACGAAAGCGUGGGGAUCAAACAGGAUUAGAUACCCUGGUAGUCCACGCCUUAAACGUUGAAUACUCGAUGUGUGCGAUAUACUGUACGCGUCUAAGCGAAAGUGAUAAGUAUUCCACCUGGGGAGUACGCUCGCAAGAGUG
rnacentral:rRNA from 1 species